rnacentral:rRNA from 1 species
UAUCACGUAAGGCUAAAUACUUCCGCCGACCGAUAGAGGAGAGUACCGUGAGGGAAAGGUGAAAAGAACCCAGAGUAUGGGAGUGAAAGAGAAUUUGAAACCGUGUGCUUACAAACGGUAGGAGCCGAGAGGUGACUGCGUGGAUUUUGGUUAAUCAUCCUGCGAGUUAUGAUAUGUGGCGAGGUUAAAAGAGUGGAGCCGAAGGGAAACCGAGUCUUAAGAGGGCGAAAGUCGCAUGUUAUAGACGCGAAACCUAGUGAUCUAGGCCUGUCCAGGUUGAAGCUGCAGUAAGAUGCAGUGGAGGACCGAACUCACCGCCGUUGAAAUGUUGGGAGAUGAGAUAGGUUUAGGGGUGAAAAGCCAAUCGAACUAGGAGAUAGCUCGUUCUCUCCGAAAUGCAUUUAGGUGCAGCCUUAAAGUUAAGAUAUAUGGGGGUAGAGCACUGUAUAACCUAGGGGGCGUAUAGCUUACUGAAGUUAAGCAAACUGCGAAUACCAUAUAUUAACAUUUAGGAGUGAGUCUAUGGAUGACAAGGUCCGUGGACGAGAGGGAAACAACCCAGAACAUCAGCUAAGGUCCCAAAUUAUGUCUAAGUGGGAAAGGAGGUGGAUAUUCACAAACAACCAGGAGGUUGGCUUAGAAGCAGCCAUACCUUUAAAGAGUGCGUAAUAGCUCACUGGUCGAGAGUAUCUGCGCCGAAGAUUUAACGGGGCUAAGACAUAAACCGAAGCUAUGUAACAAGUAAUUGUUGGUAGGAGAGCGUUCUGUAAGCUGUUGAAGGAGAGUUGAAAGAUGAUCUGGAGGUAUCAGAAGUGAGAAUGCAGGAAUGAGUAGCGAGAAAGAGGGUGAGAAUCCCUCUGGCCGGAAGUCCAAGGUUUCCAGGGGAAGGUUUGUCCUCCCUGGGUGAGUCGGGACCUAAGCGAAGACUGAAGAGUCGUGGCGAAUGGAAAAUAGGUUAAUAUUCCUAUACCACUUCCAAUCUAUAGUGAUGGAGUGACGCAGGAAGGUAUGUAAGAUGUCUGACGGAAUAGGCAUUCUAAGGGAGAAGCAUGGUAGUAGAGGCAAAUCCAUACUAUUAAAUGUUAGGCCUGAUGGGGAAGUGUACUACGGUACAUAAGUUACAAAUCCUACACUGCCGAGAAAAACUUCUAAACUGAAAGGGAGUGCCCGUACUGUAAACCGACACAGGUGGACUGGGUGAGAAACCCGAGGCCGACAGGAUAACUCUAGCUAAGGAACUCUGCAAAAUAGCCCCGUAACUUCGGGAGAAGGGGUGCCUAUAGUAGGUGAAGGAGAACAUCUGGAGCUGAUGUAGGUCGCAGUGAAGAGUCCCAAGCAACUGUUUAUCAAAAACACAGGUCUAUGCUAAGCUGAAAGGCGACGUAUAUGGGCUGACACCUGCCCAGUGCUGGAAGGUUAAGAGGAGGAUUGAGAGAUUCGAAUUGAAGCCCCAGUGAACGGCGGCCGUAACUAUAACGGUCCUAAGGUAGCGAAAUUCCUUGUCGGGUAAGUUCCGACCUGCACGAAUGGUGAAAUGAUUUGGGAGCUGUCU